rnacentral:rRNA from 1 species
UACGGGGGGGGCAAGCGUUGUUCGGAAUUACUGGGCGUAAAGGGCUCGUAGGCGGCCAACUAAGUCAGACGUGAAAUCCCUCGGCUUAACCGGGGAACUGCGUCUGAUACUGGAUGGCUAGAGGUUGGGAGAGGGAUGCGGAAUUCCAGGUGUAGCGGUGAAAUGCGUAGAUAUCAGGAGGAAUACCGGUGGCGAAGGCGGCCUUCUGGACGGUGACUGACGCUGAGACGCGAAAGCGUGGGGAGCAAACAGG